rnacentral:rRNA from 1 species
UACGUAGGGGGCAAGCGUUGUCCGGAAUCAUUGGGCGUAAAGAGCGUGUAGGCGGCCAGAAAAGUCCGCUGUGAAAACUCAAGGCUCAACUUCGAGCUGUCGGUGGAAACUUUCUGGCUAGAGUCCGGAAGAGGAGAAUGGAAUUCCUGGUGUAGCGGUGAAAUGCGCAGAUAUCAGGAAGAACACCCGUGGCGAAGGCGGUUCUCUGGGCCACUACUGACGCUGAGAAGCGAAAGCAUGGGGAGCGAACAGG